UACGUAGGGGGCAAGCGUUGUCCGGAUUCAUUGGGCGUAAAGAGCGUGUAGGCGGCCAGGUAGGUCGGUUGUGAAAACUGGAGGCUCAACCUUCAGAGGUCGACCGAAACCAUCUGGCUAGAGUCCGGGAGAGGAGAGUGGAAUUCCUGGUGUAGCGGUGAAAUGCGCAGAUAUCAGGAAGAACACCCGUGGCGAAAGCGGCUCUCUGGAACGGUACUGACGCUGAGACGCGAAAGCGUGGGGAGCGAACGGGAUUGAGAA
rnacentral:rRNA from 1 species